rnacentral:lncRNA from 13 species
GGAAAAGGGAGUCUACACUGUUCAAAUUUACACGAUCUGCAUUGGAGUCAUUUUCCUGAAGGCAGUUUAAGGGUUGAGGAAUACGGCGAAUGUCUGAAAGACGAGUAUAUAUUUUAAAAACAGGGGCGUAGGUACAUGGUUUAAUAGAAAAAUACUAGCAGAUAUAACUGAUUUUUUCAGAUGUCACACUAUUGCAACUAAAGAGAAAAUUCGCUCUCUUUGGACCUCUCUAUUCAUACGGUGUAAGAUUUCUGUUCACACUGAAAUAGAUGGAGUGGAGUAAAACAACCACAGUAGGGCUGUGGGGAGAAUGCUUCCAAGAUAGUGAAACACCGAUUGCGAUUGGCAAUAAUUGGUAAAAGCUUGGUUGUUUCUGGGAAACAUUUUCUAUCCGGCUCAGAAACAAACAUGUAAAUGGCACAGAGUUCUAAAGUGGGCAGUUGCAACCAAUACCAAAGGAGGCCUGUGGGCACAUGCCUGUGCAGGCCUGUACGUGUGUAUGGGUUUUCUGCUGCCAGAGGCUUUACAUCUCGGUGGCACCCAGAUAAUAAGGAGGAAGUAGUCAGAACUGCCUUGCUUGACUCACUCUCCGUUUUCAUGAUCAACCCCCAAACCAACCCAAAGCUUUGGUCUGGGAGCAGGGUUGUAACUUUUAAACACAACGAAAUAAAAUGCCCUCCCUCUCUCCCCAAGAGCAGGCAUUUGUAGCCUAGACAUAGAUUCAGGAACCAUGAGAGCAGAAAGGCUUCUAGAACCACUGAGACUAAAGCCUCCAGGAGGAGAGGAGGCGUCAGGCACAUGUCAGCAUGUCUUUUCAGAGGUCGGUCAGGAAGACCAUGCUGGCGAAGACAGCUCCCUUGCAGACCUGUGUUGCCCUUCUCUUUAGAAACAUGCCUGUUACCAAGCGUGUGGGGGCGUCUCCCAUACCAAGAAAUUCUCCAAUUCUCUGUGGAUACCAACUCUUGUGCUACAAUUUAUCUCAAUUCUGAAACUAUGUACCUGGAGGGAGCAUCACAUCAGGGUUUGGUCCCACGAGAUACCUCUGCUCAGAUGCCAAUCACAAGUAGUGAGUACCUAGGUUACCUAUAUUACCCACAGCUUCUGUCUGACUUGCCUACACAUUGGUGGUUCCCAUGAUGUUUCUUAAGUUUGAUAGUGUGCUAGAGGCUCAUGGAAUCCAGGAAAAUGGCUUACUUUGUAUUACAAAGACUACAGUAAAGGAUACGAAUGAACAGCCAGAUGAAGAUAUAUACAGGGCAAGGUUUGGGAAGGUCUUGAGCACUGGAGCUUCUGUCCCUGUGGAGUUUGGGGUGCACUAUGCUCCCAGAAUGUGGAUUUGUUGUUAAUCCACCUGGAAGGACACUCUCUGAACCCUGCCCUUUUGGUUUUUAUGGAAGCUUCCUUACAUAGGCACAAUUGAUUAAAUCAUUGGCCAUUUUGUGAUCACUUCAACCUUCAGCCCUUCUCUACUGCCUAGAGAUUGAGGGGUGAGGUGGGAGGUAGCAUAGGGCUGAAAGUGCCAGCUGUCUAAUCACUUGGUUGGUUCUCCUGGCACCCAGCCCUCAUCCUGAGGCUAUACAGGAACCCCCGCCACCAGCCAUCCCAUUAGCACACAAAAAGACACCUACCACUUGGUUUUUGGAACUGUCUACCAGGAAAUGGAGGCUGAGAAAAAACCUAUAUUUCUUAUUAUUACAAUAAAUAAAUAUUACAUUUUGAAUUAUUUUGAAAA